CGCCUAUCGAUAAGUUAUGAUAGGUCUAGCCUGCCCAGUGAAUAUUCAACGGCCGCGGUAUACUAACCGUGCAAAGGUAGCGCAAUCACUUGUCUCCUAAAUAGGGACUAGUAUGAACGGCAUCACGAGGAUUUAACUGUCUCCUCCCCCUAAUCUGUGAAACUAAUCUCCCCGUGAAAAAGCAGGGAUAAAUAUAUAAGACGAGAAGACCCUAUGGAACUUUAAACAAAUAACAACUGCUUCUACCACAAGCCUUUCUGAAAGUUAAAAUUUAUUAGCAUAAUGAUUAUAAGUUUUCGGUUGGGGUGACCACGGAGAAAAAAUUAACCUCCACGAUGCAACGAACCUAAAUUCAAAAUUAUAAGCUACAACUUUACGAAUCAACAAAUUGACAUUAUUGACCCAACUUUUUGAUCAACGAACUAAGCUACCCUAGGGAUAACAGCGCAAUCUAUUUUGAGAGUACAUAUCGACACAUAGGCUUACGACCUCGAUGUUGGAUCAGGGUCUCCUAGUGGUGCAGCCACUACUUAAGGUUCGUUUGUUCAACGAUUAAAACCCU
rnacentral:rRNA from 1 species